AAAAAACGUCAGCAUGUUGUAACUCUAAAGGCGCCGCACAGCCAACCAGAGCUAUUUCACUCAUCUCUCCACCAAUGAGAGCCUCAGGGCACAGAGCCAAUCGCACCCCGACAGGACAGCUCUGAGCCAAUCAGAGCUUCAAACUCUGAUAGAUCUCAGCUUGUGGUAAUGAAAGCUCAGCUGUUUAGAGGUUUGGAGGCCAGGCCACCAUCACCUGAGGAAUAUUUGGAGGUUUGACUGGAGCAAGAGAGGGAACAGGAGGGAACAGAAAGCAGCAGCAGGCAGGACAGCGUUACAGACGAGAGAUCGGUGAGGUGAGAAGGAAAGGUUAAAGCAGACAGGAACCUAAGACAAAACACAAAAAGUUAGAGAGGGGACCUGAGUGAAGGAACCGGAAAAAAAGGAGGUUGCUCUGAAAAGGAGUGGAAGAAGAAAAAGUAGGUAUUAGCGGAGAUUUCCAAAUCUGCAUCAAAAGGGAUGAAGAACGAGAGGAAGGCGGCGUUGCUGGCCAUCAGAGAAAGUAUCGAGAUGGAGCUGUUCUCCUCAGAGGAGUGCUGCGUGGUGACACCAACACAGGAGUGGAAGGAGGAGGAUUACAGCUUUCACCGGAGACACCUGGAGCAUCCGCUGGUCCCUGACAGUGAGGAGGAACCAGAGCUGCAGUUUCAGACCCAAUCCAGGCGGCAGGUCAAGCCCAAAUCAGAGCCUCCCGCCAAGGAUGAGGCCAAGCACUGCCCCAUGGUCCCUGGAUUCAUGGAGGAAAUUGAGAUAGAGAUGGAGGUGUUUCCUCCCCUCAGAGUGUUUAAAGUAAAGUCAGACGAUCCCUCCAUCAUGAACCCCACGUCGCCAGACAAAGUUAGUCAUCUCAGAUGGAGGAGACCAACUUCGCAGAGGACCGGACUGGUGGUCAGAGAUGUGAUAUGUUUACCAACAGGACAUCUGGAACAGCUGGAGAGGCACACUGUUCCACAGGGCAAAGAACAAGCAGCUCUAGCGGCCAUGGGGAUGACCGCUCGCAUCACCAUUGACUGCGGUUGGACGGCCAAUCAGGUACAGAGUCGGCUGGCUUUGCUCUUCUGGGGGCGUUUUGUGAAACGGGCGGGCCAAAGGUUCUCCUUCACAUAUCUACAGUGUUUGCACGGUUCCACGGUGUUGUACGUCCCAGACACCCCUGCAGGAGGCUGGACUGGAGAGCAGGUGGUCAGGAUCUCCGGACAUGGUGCUCUGUAUAUCCUCAGCCACCAGGACUACCCACAGGCAGAAUCUGCGAGAUCAACAAGCAAGACACCUGAGGUGAACAGGAAGGAGUUCUGUCCGGAGGCCAGGACAGAGAGCUGCACGGACAAAGAUGAUCAGCUGGGAGGACAGCUGCACGAGUGACUUGAAACUUAGGAUGUUAAUGUUGCUGAACUAAGCCACGCACCAUCCUUCACGUUUUCAGACAGAAGGAGAUGGCGAGGACAGCCGCCCACCAGCGAGGACAGGUUUAUAAACCGGAAGCGCUCCUGUUUGUCGGUUCAGUUAAAGCCUAAACUCUGCUGUUUUAUUGUUUGAAGCUUUGUUCUCCGUCAGGUGUGAAAUAUCAGUGUAAAUCUAGAAAUGCCACGGGAACAAUAAUGUCUUUAAGAAGAGCAGAAGAAAGAGAAGAGAGUUUUAGCCUUUGUAAAAUAAGAAUGGUAGUGACGACUGUACUUUCAGGCAACCCUCAUGAAUUCUUAACACUGUCGUCCAUGUUUUAUCUUAUCCUUUUAACAGUUAUUCCAAAACACCAUUGACGCAGGUUCCAAAGUCAUGAACCUUCAACAUUUACAGACUGCAUCUUUUUAACGUCUCACAGAAUGUCUUGCAUCGUGUCUCUGCUGAUGUUUAUAAUUUCAAAUAUUGAAGAAAAAUUGAACACAACUGAUGGCAAAUUUUCACUUGAUAUUAUCGUGUUUUGUCUUUUUAACAUAAUCUUGUAAGGUGGAUCUCAACAAAUAAUAUAUAAUAUAUGCUCUCAAAUCAAAUGUUGAAUAAAGUUUAUUUUCAGAGGAUCUAUUAAACAAGACAAGAAUGGCACCUCAAAUACACGUCUCUUUAUUCAUCCUUCAGAAGGGCAUAAUACAACAUGGAACAAUGCAACUGUGCAUAUUAUGUCAUACAUCUAGUCUUAAAUUGAUAAAAAAUUUUAUGUAGACAAAUCAUUUUCUUAAAAGUAAUACAUCUACAGAGCUUGUAGAAAGGUGCAAAAUAAAAUUCUCUUUUCCUUAAAACAUGAUUGUAAAUUAAUAAUUUUAAAAUGUUUGUCGGUCCAAAAUGAUUGUUUCAUUCUGACAGGUGGUUCCAGCUGUGAUAAACUCCAAGUUUAUCAGCCAAUAUAUUAAUGACAUUGGAAUCAUUAUUGGUGUCUGUGUUUUCUUUAGCAUCAAGAGUCCACCUUGACACCCAGCAAACUUGAAUGAGGAUAAAAUAGCGCAUCACGUGACCAUGUAAUUACACGGUUUGGCCACUAUGAAAACUGACUUCAGAGUCCAGCGCUCCUUCUUGGGGCUUGAAGCUAACAAGCAAAUGGCAACAUCAGUUAGCAGUUACUCAGGAAAUAUGCAUAUUUUUUUAGAAUAUAAAUUCAACAAGUGGCCAGUUCUUGCAUAUUGUGCCUUUUAAGGGAAAAGUCCGAUUGGAGAUACAGACAGAAUUUCACCUAAUAAUCAUUUUCAAAAAUAAUGAAAUCUAAACAUCUAAAAAACAACAAAAAAAAAUUUUAUGCAAAAAUAACCAUUUGAAAACAAUUUUCUAAUCAGUGAUAGAAGAAAAAACAUCAAUCAGCAGGUAUACAAAUAAAUAAUUUAAAAAAUCAUUGCUGCAUUGCCUUUUUUUUUCUCACUUAGUAUUGCUGCAUUCCCUUGCAGUAACAUAAUAGCCAUACUGGUCCAAGUUCAGGAUCAACAAACGUUUAUCCUGCUUUAAUAUGUCACAAUCUAUAUACAUUUCAGUACUUUCCACUAGUUAGCUCAUGACCAGGAAAAGCAGGUUUGACCACACUGAAACAGAGAGCAAAACCAAACUUAACCAUGGACAAUCAUGAGUCUCAAGAGGAUUGAAUGGAGACACAUCCAGGAGACACAGCUGUAACGUAUAGGAAAAAAUACUUAAUUCACUUCCCGGAUUACAUAUAUAUAUACCCUAUGCAAAUGGUAUGAGGCAAAGUCAUCGUUGCCAAAUCAGUAAACUGUCUUGCAACUAUUACACAACAGCAUGGUAGUUUCCUGGUUGCCAAGCUUCUCAGUGAAGCAGCUCCAGUUACAAAGUAUUUGGAUUACUGACACUUCUUAAGAAACCUCUUUGAUGCAUCAGAUUGCUUGGUUUGAGCCUUUCUUCGCUACUGAACACUUGAGAUAAAUGGCAUUUCCAUUCACAUGGGAAACACAGCCAGCAGUGUAAUGAUGAAAAUAUUGUUUGGGGACUAUAGAGAGCGAAAAUGGAUCUUAAUGUUGACUUUUUCUGACUCUCUCUUUGUUUUGUUUUUGAGAUUUAAUAGAACAAAAUGAUGAUAAAGAUGCACAGGGGAGACAGUCUAAAAUCUUAGCCUCUGCAGUGUAGUUGAGAUGAAGAUGACAUUUUAUUAAUACAGUCAGCACCCCCUUGAAUUGCUUUCUUCAUACAUUCAAUUUUACUUGCAGUUGCAUGACGCUUCUAUGGGACGACUCUAACCCUUUGAAUGUUUGUCACACUGACUGUGGUGUGGUUGGUUCCAUUCAAGAGCUGCCCCCUCACAAACUGAAACAAAAGAAAACAGACAAUAAACAACACAAGAUUUAUCUCAUUCCCCUCACUGCACUCUCUAAAUUAAUACAGAUUAUCAUUCAUAAUAUUGGCGGGAGAGCCAUACCUGUUCAACAAGAUGAGUAAUGGUUCCAUUGCUGAUAACACCGAUUGAAGUUAACUUCACCUGAAGAAUUGCCACUGCCUCCAAACCUGUAGAGAUGAAAAAAAAAACAUGUUAAAAUUAACAAAACAAUUAAAAGAGAUAUUGGACUUUUUAAUUGCUACAUGUCAUUAAACACAUGAUUAUUGUUGGUUUAAAGCUGCAUCAUGCGAAUCACAGAUAAUUUAUCUUGAUUAAUUGUAUUUGCAAGACAUGGGGUCAAUGAAUUCUAAGAAAAAAAUUACUUACACAAACUGUAUAAAUU
ensembl:lncRNA